UACGAAGGGUGCAAGCGUUAUUCGGAAUAACUGGGCGUAAAGAGCGUGUCGGCGGUUUUUUAAGUCAUCUGUUAAAGGGCUCGGCUCAACCGAGUACAUGCGGGUGAGACUGAAAGACUAGAGUACGAGAGAGAAGGGUAGAAUUCUCGGAGUAGCGGUAAAAUGCGUAGAUCUCGAGAGGAAUACCGGUUGCGAAGGCGGCCCUUUGGCUCGUAACUGACGCUUAAGCGCGAAAGCGUGGGGAGCAAAC
rnacentral:rRNA from 1 species